rnacentral:rRNA from 1 species
UGGGGAAUAUUGCACAAUGGGCGCAAGCCUGAUGCAGCCAUGCCGCGCUGUAUGAAGAAGCCAAUUCGGGCUUUGGUUAAAGAUACUUUUCAGCGAGGAGGAAGGUGUUGUGGUUAAUAACCACAGCAAUUGACGUUACUCGCAGAAGAAGCACCGGCUAACUCCGUGCCAGCAGCCGCGGUAAUACGGAGGGUGCAAGCGUUAAUCGGAAUUACUGGGCGUAAAGCGCACGCAGGCGGUCUGUCAAGUCGGAUGUGAAAUCCCCGGGCUCAACCUGGGAACUGCAUCCGAAACUGGCAGGCUAGAGUCUUGUAGAGGGGGUAGAAUUCCAGGUGUAGCGGUGAAAUUGCGUAGAGAUCUGGAGGAAUACCGGUGGCGAAGGCGGCCCCCUGGACAAAGACUGACGCUCAGGUGCGAAAGCGUGGGAGCAAACA